UACGAACUGUGCGAACGUUAUUCGGAAUCACUGGGCUUACAGGGUGCGUGGGCGGCGAUGCAAGUCAGGUGUGAAAGCCCACGGCUCAACCGUGGAACAGCGCUUGAAACUGCAUUGCUGGAGUGAGCUAGAGGUAUGCGGAACUUCCGGUGGAGCGGUGAAAUGUGUUGAUAUCGGAAGGAACACCAGAGGCGAAAGCGGCAUACUGGAGCUUGUCUGACGCUGAGGCACGAAAGCCAGGGGAGCAAACGGG
rnacentral:rRNA from 1 species